rnacentral:rRNA from 1 species
AGAGUUUGAUCCUGGCUCAGGAUGAACGCUAGCGGCAGGCUUAACACAUGCAAGUCGAGGGGUAACAGGUCAGUUUACUGAUGCUGACGACCGGCGGACGGGUGCGUAACGCGUAUGCGACCUACCUUUAACUGGAGGAUAGCCCGGAGAAAUUCGGAUUAAUACUCCAUAGUAUUUAUACAGUAUAUGUAUAAAUUAAAGCUUCGGUGGUUAAAGAUGGGCAUGCGUCCCAUUAGCUAGUUGGUGAGGUAACGGCUCACCAAGGCGACGAUGGGUAGGGGGCCUGAAAGGGUGAUCCCCCACACUGGUACUGAGACACGGACCAGACUCCUACGGGAGGCAGCAGUGAGGAAUAUUGCACAAUGGAGGAAACUCUGAUGCAGCAACGCCGCGUGGAGGAUGACGCAUUUCGGUGUGUAAACUCCUUUUAUAUGUGAAGAAAAUGACGGUAGCAUAUGAAUAAGCACCGGCUAACUCCGUGCCAGCAGCCGCGGUAAUACGGAGGGUGCAAGCGUUACUCGGAAUCACUGGGCGUAAAGAGCGCGUAGGCGGGUUAGUAAGUUGGAAGUGAAAGCCCACAGCUCAACUGUGGAACUGCUUCCAAAACUGCUAAUCUAGAGUUUGGGAGAGGUAAGUGGAAUUCCUGGUGUAGGGGUGAAAUCCGUAGAGAUCAGGAGGAAUACCGAAAGCGAAGGCGACUUACUGGAACAAUAUUGACGCUGAUGCGCGAAAGCGUGGGGAGCAAACAGGAUUAGAUACCCUGGUAGUCCACGCCCUAAACGAUGAAUGUUAGUCGUUGUGAUGCAAGUCAUUGCAGUGAUGCAGCUAACGCAUUAAACAUUCCGCCUGGGGAGUACGGUCGCAAGAUUAAAACUCAAAGGAAUAGACGGGGACCCGCACAAGUGGUGGAGCAUGUGGUUUAAUUCGAAGAUACGCGAAGAACCUUACCCGGCCUUGACAUCCCAGGAAUCUUUCAGAGAUGAGAGAGUGCUACUUCGGUAGAGCUUGGUGACAGGUGCUGCACGGCUGUCGUCAGCUCGUGUCGUGAGAUGUUGGGUUAAGUCCCGCAACGAGCGCAA